rnacentral:rRNA from 1 species
UACGGGGGGGAGCAAGCGUUGUUCGGAUUUAUUGGGCGUAAAGAGCUCGUAGGCGGUUUGUCGCGUCGGCCGUGAAAUCUCCCGGCUUAACUGGGAGGGUGCGGCGAAGACUGCGGGGCUGGAGUGUGGAGAGGUAAGCGGAAUUCCUGGUGUAGCGGUGAAAUGCGUAGAUAUCAGGAGGAACACCGGUGGCGAAGGCGGGCUCUUGG